UAGCCUACAAGUGAGAUUAGAGCAUU
rnacentral:piRNA from 1 species